AAAUAAAACGAAGUGCUAUUAUUAAAGCGCACUCAAACACGUUCGAGCAAGGUGAGAAAGUAAAACGAAGUGCUAUUAUUAAAACGCAUUAAAACACACGUUCGAGCAAGGUGAGAAAGCAAAACGAAGUGCUAUUAUUAAAGCGCACUCAAACACGUUCGAGCAAAGUGAGAAAGUAAAACGAAGUAGUAGUAUUAAAGCGCACUCAAACACGUUCGAGCAAGGUGAGAAAGUAGAACGAAGUGCUAUUAUUAAAGCGCACGCAAACACACGUUCGAGCAAGGCGAGAAAGUACAAUGAAGUGCUGGCAUCAAAGCGCACGCAAACACACGCGCAGACACAAACGCUCAUGGACUUCACUUCACAAACCAAGACAUCAACAAAACAUCAACACACACAAGAUGUCAGGCACUCAUCUGUUGUAUAUUCUAUUCCAGAUUGGUAUUUUAUAAU